UCUAAGGAUGCCUCAACGAUUCCACUGAAU
rnacentral:piRNA from 1 species